rnacentral:rRNA from 1 species
AGGACGAACGCUGGCGGCGUGCUUAACACAUGCAAGUCGAGCGGUAAGGCCUUUCGGGGUACACUAGCGGCGAACGGGUGAGUAACACGUGGGUGAUCUGCCCUGCACUUCGGGAUAAGCCUGGGAAACUGGGUCUAAUACCGGAUAUGACCUCAGGUUGCAUGACUUGGGGUGGAAAGAUUUAUCGGUGCAGGAUGGGCCCGCGGCCUAUCAGCUUGUUGGUGGGGUAAUGGCCUACCAAGGCGACGACGGGUAGCCGACCUGAGAGGGUGACCGGCCACACUGGGACUGAGACACGGCCCAGACUCCUACGGGAGGCAGCAGUGGGGAAUAUGCACAAUGGGCGAAAGCCUGAUGCAGCGACGCCGCGUGAGGAUGACGGCCUUCGGGUUGUAAACCUCUUUCAGCAGGACGAAGCGCAAGUGACGGUACUGCAGAAGAAGCACGGCUAACACGUGCCAGCAGCCGC